rnacentral:rRNA from 1 species
GAUGAACGCUGGCGGCGUGCCUAAUACAUGCAAGUCGAGCGAACGGACGAGAAGCUUGCUUCUCUGAUGUUAGCGGCGGACGGGUGAGUAACACGUGGAUAACCUACCUAUAAGACUGGGAUAACUUCGGGAAACCGGAGCUAAUACCGGAUAAUAUUUUGAACCGCAUGGUUCAAAAGUGAAAGACGGUCUUGCUGUCACUUAUAGAUGGAUCCGCGCUGCAUUAGCUAGUUGGUAAGGUAACGGCUUACCAAGGCAACGAUGCAUAGCCGACCUGAGAGGGUGAUCGGCCACACUGGAACUGAGACACGGCCCAGACUCCUACGGGAGGCAGCAGUAGGGAAUCUUCCGCAAUGGGCGAAAGCCUGACGGAGCAACGCCGCGUGAGUGAUGAAGGUCUUAGGAUCGUAAAACUCUGUUAUUAGGGAAGAACAUAUGUGUAAGUAACUGUGCACAUCUUGACGGUACCUAAUCAGAAAGCCACGGCUAACUACGUG